rnacentral:tRNA from 1 species
GCGGUCUGAAUUGUGGUCCCGAUCAACGCCAAUUCUGAUGUGGUCCGCCGCGUAGGUCUCGGGUUCGAAUCCCGAAGGCGGCUCCA